AAUGUAUAUUUCAUUUCAGUAGCAUAUAACAUCAAAUACAAUACAUCAUCCACUGACUCCACGCAUUAAGGUUCAACGCCUAACAAGGGCACAUCAAAAUAAUUUUACAUAUGCACAACAGAAUACUUCUGCAAGUGCAAGUGCAUAGAAAAAGGUUCCAACAAAUGCACAAUCACACAUAAAGAGAGUUCCACAAAGAUUGGAUGAGAACCACAAAUUUCUUCUCAUCCUCUUCCUGUGCACAAUAUGCUCUUGCCAUUGCCGCGUGCAAGAAGAAAAUGAUGGUAAGGCUUUCAGACCAAGGAAAC
rnacentral:lncRNA from 1 species